GGCCUAAUAAAAGGAGUUAAUAGCCACGGCAACAAUGGGAAACAUGAAUCCCCCAAUAUGUAUUGGGGAAUUGAAUUGCUUUCACUAAGCUGAUAACAAGCCCCGUUUAGUAACUCCCUUGAUCCUUCCACACGAGAAUAGAGCUUUGUUUGGGUGAAGAUGGAUUCCGGCUUCAUUGUGCAAGGCCACCCAGCAGAGAUGUCCAAGAACCUGCCCUCAGAAUCCACCAACGCCUGAACUAACAAGGACCCAUUUUUCCCCAGCAGCUCACUAUCAACCCCAAAUUUCCCAAACCCCAAAACCACACAACAAUUAGGGAGAGAAAUCCAUUCAAAUCCCAUCACUAUGCGCUCCAAAUCCCUCCCAAAGUCCACCAAGUCCCCCAAUUUCUCGUUCACUGUUUUACAAACAGAGUAAAACGCUAGGCACGCGGCGGCAGGUGAAUCAAGUCCAAAUCUAGGCGCUACUGAUUCGUAAGACGCGCCGUGGGCUUGUUUGGUCAAGUGCUUGUUUUGAUUUCUUGGUCUUCCGGGUUUGCAUUUUGGGGCGGAUUUGGGGCUUAUAGGAGCUUUCUGGGCAGUAGAUUUGGAGGAUCCGCCGGCGGCAGCCAUAGAGAUG
rnacentral:misc_RNA from 1 species